AUUGAACGCUGGCGGCAUGCCUUACACAUGCAAGUCGAACGGCAGCACGGGAGCAAUCCUGGUGGCGAGUGGCGAACGGGUGAGUAAUAUAUCGGAACGUGCCCAGUCGUGGGGGGGUAACGUAGCGAAAGCUACGCUAAUACCGCAUACGAUCUAUGGAUGAAAGCAGGGGAUCGCAAGACCUCGCGCGAUUGGAGCGGCCGAUAUCAGAUUAGGUAGUUGGUGAGGUAAAGGCUCACCAAGCCGACGAUCUGUAGCUGGUCUGAGAGGACGACCAGCCACACUGGAACUGAGACACGGUCCAGACUCCUACGGGAGGCAGCAGUGGGGAAUAUUGGACAAUGGGCGAAAGCCUGAUCCAGCCAUGCCGCGUGUGUGAAGAAGGUCUUCGGAUUGUAAAGCACUUUAAGUUGGGAGGAAGGGUAGUAACCUAAUACGUUGCUACUUUGACGUUACCGACAGAAUAAGCACCGGCUAACUUCGUG
rnacentral:rRNA from 1 species